AACGGGUUGUAGCUGGCCUUCCGAGGCAUGUGCACGCCCUGCUCAUCCACUCUACCCCUGUGCACUUACUGUAGGUUGGCGUGGGCUCCUUUGCGGGAGCAUUCUGCCGGCCUAUGUAUACUACAAACACUUUAAAGUAUCAGAAUGUAAACGCGUCUAACGCAUCUAUAAUACAACUUUUAGCAACGGAUCUCUUGGCUCUCGCAUCGAUGAAGAACGCAGCGAAAUGCGAUAAGUAAUGUGAAUUGCAGAAUUCAGUGAAUCAUCGAAUCUUUGAACGCACCUUGCGCUCCUUGGUAUUCCGAGGAGCAUGCCUGUUUGAGUGUCAUGGAAUUCUCAACUUAUAAAUCCUUGUGAUCUAUAAGCUUGGACUUGGAGGCUUGCUGGCCCUUGCGGGCGGCUCCUCCUGGAUGGAUUAACUCGAUUCCGGACGGAUCGGCUCUCAGGGGGGUAAUUGGCUACCCUGGGACCGGGAAGUGGUUUGGCGAACUUCCAACCGUCCAUUAGGACAACUUUUUAACAUCUGAACUCCAAUCCAGGAAGAAUACCCGCUGAACUUUAGCAUAUCAAUAAACGGAAGAAAAGAAACUAACCAGGAUUCCCCUAAUAACUGCGAAUGGAGCGGGAAAAGCUCCAAUUUAAAAUCUGGCCGUCCUUGGCCGUCCGAAGUGUAAUCUGGAAAAACGGCCUCCCGGUGGAACGUGGUCCAGGCUCCUGGGAACGAGCGUCUAAAGGUGAGAAUUCCGUCUUUUAACCGACUACCAUGCUUUGUGAUGGCUCUCCAAGAAUCCCGUGUUUGGGAAUGCAGCGCAAAAUGGGAAGUUGAUUCCUUCUAAAGCUAAAUAAUUGGCGAGAGAACCGAUAGCGGAACAGUACCGUGAAGGCAAAGAUGGAAAAGCACUUGGAAGGAAAGUAAACCAGUACGUGGAAGUGCUAAAAGGAACCCUUGAAGUCAGUCGCGUCGUCGGAACUCAGCUAGCUCGGCUAAUGCACUUUCCGUGACGGUCAGCAUCGAUUUGACGCUGGAA
rnacentral:rRNA from 1 species